rnacentral:lncRNA from 7 species
AUGGGGGCAGCAGUGGGGAUGUGGGGACAGCAGGGAUGUGGGGACAGCAGGGAUGUGGGGACAGCAGGGAUGUGGGGACAGCAGUGGGGAUAUAUGGGGACAGCAGGGGCAUGGGGGCAGCAGUGGGGAUGUGUGGAUGUGAGGGAUGUGGGGACAGCAGUGGGGCUGUGGGGACAGCAGUGGGGAUACGGGGACGUCAGGGGCAUGGGGGCAGCAGCAGGGAUAUGGGGACAGCAGGGAUAUGGGGGCAGCAGUGAGGAUAUAUGGGGACAUCAGUGGGGAUAUGGGGACAGCAGUGGGGCUGUGGGGACAGCAGUGGGGAUAGGGGGACGUCCAGGGCAUGGGGACCGCAGCAGGGAUAUGGGGACAGCAGGGAUAUGGGGGCAGCAGUGGGGAUAUGGGGACAGCAGCAGGGAUGUGUGGGUAUCAGGGAUAUGGGGACAGCAGUGGGGAUAUAUGGGGACAUCAGUGGGGGGAUAUGGGGACAGCAGUGGGGAUGUGUGGAUAUCAGAGAUACGGGGACAGCAGUCAGUGAGGAUAUGGGGACAUGAGGGGCAUGGGGACAGCAGUGGGGUUAUAGGGACAGCAGUGGGGAUGUGUGGGUGUCAGGGAUAUGGGGACAGCAAUGGGGAUAUGGGGACAGCAGUGGGGCUGUGGGGGCAGCUGUGACAAUGGGGACAGCAGUGACAUGGGGACAACAGUGGGGAUAUGGGGACAGCAGUGGGGACAGCAGCGGAGAUAUGGGGUCAGCAGUGAAGAUAAGGGGACACGAGGGAUAUGGGGACGUCAGUGGGGUCAUGGGGACAGCAGUGGGGAUGUGGGGACAUCAGUGAUAUGGGAACAGCAGCGGGGAUGUGGGGACAGCAGGGAUGUGGGGAUGUCAUUGGGGUUAUGGGGACAGCAGUGGGGAUGUGGGGACAUCAGGGGGGACAUGGGGACAGCAGUGACAAUGGGGACGGCAUUGGGGACACAGUGACGGUGUCACCCCCCCCCCCCCACAAAGUGUCCCCUCCCCCCCACUCCACGGUGUCGGUGUCCCCAUGUUGUCGCCCCCCCCGGUGUCCCCAUAUGCAAUGGGGUCGUGCAAUAAGGGGGGGGGGGCAAUGAUGGGGGUGUUAUUGGGGGGGUGAGAAGAGGGGUCGCAAUGGGGGGGCAAUGAUUGGGAUGUUAAUUCGGG